rnacentral:tRNA from 1 species
AUGAAGUGCCUGAUAAAAAGGAUUAUCUUGAUAGGGUAAAUAAAGUGAAUUAAACCACCUUCAUUA